rnacentral:rRNA from 1 species
GGGUUUCAAGCUACAGAGGGCGCACGGUGGAUGCCUUGGCGCUAAGGGCCGAUGAAGGACGCUGUCGGCGGCGAAAGGGCCGGGGAGGUGCCGA